rnacentral:rRNA from 1 species
UGCAGUCGAACGGCAGCACGGACUUCGGUCUGGUGGCGAGUGGCGAACGGGUGAGUAAUAUAUCGGAACAUACCCUAGAGUGGGGGAUAACGUAGCGAAAGUUACGCUAAUACCGCAUACGAACUAAGGUUGAAAGCGGGGGAUCUUCGGACCUCGUGCUCAUGGAGUGGCCGAUAUCUGAUUAGCUAGUUGGUGAGGUAAAGGCUCACCAAGGCGACGAUCAGUAGCUGGUUUGAGAGAACGACCAGCCACACUGGAACUGAGACACGGUCCAGACUCCUACGGGAGGCAGCAGUGGGGAAUUUUGGACAAUGGGCGCAAGCCUGAUCCAGCAAUGCCGCGUGAGUGAAGAAGGCCUUCGGGUUGUAAAGCUCUUUUGUCAGGGAAGAAACGGUGAGUCCUAAUAUGGCUUGCUAAUGACGGUACCUGAAGAAUAAGCACCGGCUAACUACGUGCCAGCAGCCGCGGUAAUACGUAGGGUGCAAGCGUUAAUCGGAAUUACUGGGCGUAAAGCGUGCGCAGGCGGUUAUAUAAGACAGUCGUGAAAUCCCCGGGCUCAACCUGGGAACUGCGAUUGUGACUGUAUGGCUAGAGUGUGUCAGAGGGGGGUAGAAUUCCACGUGUAGCAGUGAAAUGCGUAGAUAUGUGGAGGAAUACCGAUGGCGAAGGCAGCCCCCUGGGAUAACACUGACGCUCAUGCACGAAAGCGUGGGGAGCAAACAGGAUUAGAUACCCUGGUAGUCCACGCCCUAAACGAUGUCUACUAGUUGUCGGGACUUAAUUGUCUUGGUAACGCAGCUAACGCGUGAAGUAGACCGCCUGGGGAGUACGGUCGCAAGAUUAAAACUCAAAGGAAUUGACGGGGACCCGCACAAGCGGUGGAUGAUGUGGAUUAAUUCGAUGCACGCGAAAACCUUACCUACCCUUGACAUGGUUGGAAUCCCGAAGAGAUUGGGAGUGCUCGCAG